AAGCAACACUCUGGCAGAUGAACAAACUAUCUGACACAACUUGAGCUUGCUAUAGCGAGAAAGUCUAACCUAUUCUGGUCUUCUCUUCCUCAUGAGACAAGCUGUUAUAUAGGCUCAAAUAAU
rnacentral:snoRNA from 1 species